AACUCUUAGCGGUGGAUCACUCGGCUUGUGCGUUGAUGAAGAACGCAGCUAGCUGUGAGAACUAAUGUGAAUUGCAGGACACAUAGGUCAUCGACACUUUGAACGCACUUUGCGGCCCCAGGUUCCUCCUGGGGCUACGUCUGUCUGAGGGUCG
rnacentral:rRNA from 1 species